rnacentral:rRNA from 1 species
UACGUAGGGGGCUAGCGUUGUCCGGAAUCAUUGGGCGUAAAGAGCGUGUAGGCGGCCCGGUAAGUCCGCUGUGAAAGUCGGGGGCUCAACCCUCGAAUGCCGGUGGAUACUGUCGGGCUAGAGUGCGGAAGAGGCGAGUGGAAUUCCUGGUGUAGCGGUGAAAUGACGCAGAUAUCAGGAGGAACACCGGUGGCGAAGGCGGCUACCUGGACAGAAACUGACGCUGAGGCGCGAAAGCUAGGGGAGCGAACGGG